GAUGAACGCUGACAGAAUGCUUAACACAUGCAAGUCAACUUGAAUUUGGGUUUUUAACUUAGGUUUGGGUGGCGGACGGGUGAGUAACGCGUAAAGAACUUGCCUCACAGCUAGGGACAACAUUUGGAAACGAAUGCUAAUACCUAAUAUUAUGAUAAUAGGGCAUCCUAUAAUUAUGAAAGCUAUAAGCGCUGUGAGAGAGCUUUGCGUCCCAUUAGCUAGUUGGAGAGGUAACGGCUCACCAAGGCGAUGAUGGGUAGCCGGCCUGAGAGGGUGAUCGGCCACAAGGGGACUGAGACACGGCCCUUACUCCUACGGGAGGCAGCAGUGGGGAAUAUUGGACAAUGGACCGAGAGUCUGAUCCAGCAAUUCUGUGUGCACGAUGAAGUUUUUCGGAAUGUAAAGUGCUUUCAGUUGGGAAGAAACAAAUGACGGUACCAACAGGAGAAGUGACGGCUAAAUACGUG
rnacentral:rRNA from 1 species